rfam:Pteropus alecto contig63876, whole genome shotgun sequence.
GGUUCCAUAGUGUAGCAGUUAGCACUUCUGCUUUACACGCAGAAGGUCCUGGGUUCGCGCCCCAGUGGAGCCA